rnacentral:rRNA from 1 species
UGAGGGAAUAUUGGGUCAAUGGGGCGCAAGCCUGAACCAGCCAAGUAGCGUGAGGGAAGACUGCCCUACGGGUUGUAAACCUCUUUUGUUUGGGAAUAAAGUGCGGGACGCGUCCCGCAUUGCAUGUACCAUUUGAAUAAGGACCGGCUAAUUCCGUGCCAGCAGCCGCGGUAAUACGGAAGGUCCGGGCGUUAUCCGGAUUUAUUGGGUUUAAAGGGAGCGCAGGCCGUGGGUUAAGCGUGUCGUGAAAUUCCGUCGCUCAACGGCGGACGUGCAGCGCGAACUGGUCUUCUUGAGUACGCACAACGUGGGCGGAAUUCGUGGUGUAGCGGUGAAAUGCUUAGAUAUCACGAAGAACUCCGAUUGCGAAGGCAGCUCACUGGAGCGCAACUGACGCUGAAGCUCGAAAGUGCGGGUAUCGACAGGAUUAGAUACCC